AGUAUGGAGAGUUUGAUCCUGGCUCAGGAUGAACGCUAGCGGCAGGCUUAAUACAUGCAAGUCGAGGGGCAUCAAGGUACACGAAAGUGUAUUGUUGGCGACCGGCGGACGGGUGAGUAAUAGGUAGGUAACCUACCUCAUACUGAGGCAUAGCUGGGAGAAAUUCCAGGUAAUUCCUCAUGAGGUUAUAUGACACAUGUGAUAUAAUCAAAGGUAUCGCAAGGUACUGGUAUGAGAUGGGCUUACUGACCAUUAGCUAGUUGGUGAGAUAAGAGCUCACCAAGGCGAAGAUGGUUAGGGGUUUUGAGAGAGAGAUCCCCCACAUUGGAACUGAGAUACGGUCCAGACUCCUACGGGAGGCAGCAGUAGGGAAUAUUGGGCAAUGGGCGGAAGCCUGACCCAGCCAUGCCGCGUGAAGGAAGACGGCCUUAUGGGUUGUAAACUUCUUUACUAUGCGACUAACUAGAUUUACGAGAUAAUUCCUAUAGAAUGUAGUAGCAAAAAGCACCGGCUAACCCUGCCAGCAGCCGCGGUAAUACGGAGGGUGCGAGCGUUAUUCGGAAUUACUGGUUUAAAGGUGCGUAGGCGGCUAAGUAAGUUGUCAUUGAAAGGCUACAGCUCAACUGUAGUAGUGGUGGCGAUACUGCUUAGCCAAGAAACAUGGAGGGGCAUUGGAAGUGUGGUGUAGCGGUGAAAUGCGUAGAUAUCACACAGAACACCAGAGGCGAAGGCGGAGUACUAGACCAUAGUUGACGCUGAGGCACGAAAGCGUGGGGAUCAAACAGGAUUAGAUACCCUGGUAGUCCACGCCCUAAACGAUGAUCACUAGAUAUUGGCGACAAACAGUCAGUGUCCAAGCGAAAGUGAUAAGUGAUCCACCUGGGGACUACGGCCGCAAGGUUAAAACUCAAAGGAAUUGACGGGGGCCCGCACAAGCGGAGGAGCAUGUGGUUUAAUUCGAUGGUACGCGAGGAACCUUACCUGGGUUAGAACGUAUGAGCGAUGCAGCUGAAAGGUUGCAGGCCUGCGAAGGAGUUCAUACGAGGUGCCGAUGGUUGUCGUCAGCUCGUGCCGUGAGGUGUUUGGUUAAGUCCAGCAACGAGCGCAACCCCUACCUUUAGUUGCCAUCAGGUAAAGCUGGGGACACUAGAGGGACUGCCUGCGCAAGCAGUGAGGAAGGUGGGGAUGACGUCAAAUCAGCACGGCCCUUAUGUCCAGGGCUACACACAGUGCUAAAUGGUAACUACAGAGGGCAGCGACUAGGUGACUAGGAGCGAAUCUCGAAAAGUUAUCGUAGUUCGAUUGAGUCUGCAACUCGACUCCGAUGAAGAUGGAUUCGCUAGUAAUCGCGCAUCAGCAAUGGCGCGGUGAAUACGUUCCCGGGCCUUGUACACACCGCCCGUCAAGCUUAGGGAGUACACGGGAAGUUCGUGCGGCCGGAAACAAAAAGCAUAACAGGUGCGGGGACCUAGGGUAAACCGAUGACAGGGGCUAAGUGUGGUAACAAGGUAAAACUGUAAUGAAGGGUCGGCAGGGAAUACCUCCUCU
rnacentral:rRNA from 1 species